AUUGAACGCUGGCGGAAUGCUUUACACCUGCAAGGUCGAACGGCAGCACGGGGGCAACCCUGGUGGCGAGUGGCGAACGGGUGAGUAAUACAUCGGAACGUGCCCAGUCGUGGGGGAUAACUACGCGAAAGCGUAGCUAAUACCGCAUACGAACUCUGGUUGAAAGCGGGGGAUCGCAAGACCUCGCGCGAUUGGAGCGGCCGAUGGCAGAUUAGGUAGUUGGUGGGGUAAAGGCUCACCAAGCCGACGAUCUGUAGCUGGUCUGAGAGGACGACCAGCCACACUGGGACUGAGACACGGCCCAGACUCCUACGGGAGGCAGCAGUGGGGAAUUUUGGACAAUGGGCGCAAGCCUGAUCCAGCCAUUCCGCGUGCAGGAUGAAGGCCCUCGGGUUGUAAACUGCUUUUGUACGGAACGAAACGGCCUCUUCUAAUACAAGAGGCUAAUGA
rnacentral:rRNA from 1 species